rnacentral:lncRNA from 1 species
UCGCUUUGUCCAAAAUCAAUACAUAUGAAAUUUGAGGGAAAGCAUAUAUCUAGCACAUAUAACUGCCUAAUAUGGAUCCAAAAUACAUGUCAAUAGUGAUCACUUAAUCCAAAAUCAUUAAAUACGAAAUCUGAGGAAAGGCAUAUAUCUAGCACAAGUAAAAUUAAAAAUAUUAAUUUUACUUUUGUGGAUAACUUUUAGCUCUUCUCUUAUAUAUAUAUUUCAUUUUUCUUUUAUUUUUAGUGCUAUGUUAAUCCUUUUUUUUCUAAGAAAAUCUACAUAUUUUAAUCCAAAGAAUAGUAUCACAAUACAAAAAUAAGAAAGACCAAUCUAAGGUUACGAUAUCUUGAUCUAGAAGUAGACAUGAGUCCUCGUAUCGUCUACCACUUAAACCCCAUUUUGUACCUUGUUGUUAUCACCAUGUCACCAUGUUUUCAUUUUUCGUGGGGUGCUUCUCAAGUUGUUAUGGGGCUUGUAAGUGUUCUGUUAAGUUUUAAAAUGAGCUUCUUACUUUCCUUCCUUGAACUAUUACCACUACAACAAAUAAUCAUAUUUCAGCAAAUUGAAAAUUAAUAUAGUCCACUUUAAAACAAAAUUGACCUAAUUCAUUAGGUUUACCUUUUACUGCAUAGAAGUACGUAGAUUUUGCCAGUAUCUAAAAGAACAAAAAAAAAGAGAAAAUUAUGAAUAGGUUAAAGAAAAAGGUUCAAAUAAAACAUAAAAGCAAGCUAUGAUUUGAGUCAUUAAGAGUCGGUUGUUUUUCAUCUCACUAACCAUGAUUUUCCACUUUGCAGGAAGUUUUGCCAUAUGAAAAUUUGCACUCAUCUUUUUCUCUCUCAGAUGCUAUUGAUGUGCAAAUGUUUAGCAAGAUAUAGAAUUGACUUCUUCUUUUUUGAACUAUGAAUUGACUUUCAGAUAGAGGGAGAAUCACUGAAGCCAUUGAACUUGAAUUUACAUAACGUAGAGUAAAAUCUUUUAUAAGAAAAGAUUAGCGGUUUCAAUAAUCGUAAGGAGAUCGUGGUGUAGUAUGAGAAAUAAUAGGAUUUUAUUUAUAUUAAAAGUAAACAGAAUAAAUUAAUAAACGAAACUGUUUCUUACAGAUAAA